GAUGAACGCUGGCGGCGUGCUUAACACAUGCAAGUCGAACGGAAAGGCCCAAGCUUGCUUGGGUACUCGAGUGGCGAACGGGUGAGUAACACGUGGGUGAUCUGCCCUGCACUUCGGGAUAAGCCUGGGAAACUGGGUCUAAUACCGGAUAGGACCACUUCUUGGAUGUUGUGGUGGAAAGUUUUUUCGGUGUGGGAUGAGCUCGCGGCCUAUCAGCUUGUUGGUGGGGUAAUGGCCUACCAAGGCGUCGACGGGUAGCCGGCCUGAGAGGGUGUACGGCCACAGUGGGACUGAGAUACGGCCCAGACUCCGACGGGAGGCAGCAGUGGGGAAUAUUGCACAAUGGGCGCAAGCCUGAUGCAGCGACGCCGCGUGGGGGAUGACGGCCUUCGGGUUGUAAACUCCUUUCGCUAGGGACGAAGCGUUUUGUGACGGUACCUGGAGAAGAAGCACCGGCUAACUACGUG
rnacentral:rRNA from 1 species